GGGCUCUUACUUCCUUUGGGAGCAAGAGAUCCAAGCUGAUUUGGGAAAUGUUCACUGCAGAGGGGUCUGGCACCAUGUCCAGAGAUGCUAAAAGACAAGGCUGAACUCUAGACCUGGAACAUUCUGUCCACAGGCAAGCCAAUGCCAGACUGCAUGACAGCUCUGUCUAUGAGUGAGCAUUGUCACCAUUGGUAUAUGGAUGAGGUACGUUACAUCCAGAGGGAAAUAGAUGGUGACUCAAGGUCAUCCCAGCAAAAGCAAGGCCAGGACUGAAACCAGCAGUUGCUGCCUUCCCCUCAGCAUCUCCUUCUGUAGAGGAAGAAUAUGUCUUGCUAAGAAACUACUUCCUCCAAACUCAGUACCACCUUUAGACCUAGGCAGGAAGGGCCUCAUGCUUUGAAGUAUCUUCCUUGAAUGUUGUAAAUCCCUAUGUGGCUGGGACUGGCCAAGGCUAUAUACAUCAGUUGGGGAGGGGGUUGGUCCUUGAGGUUGGAAUGGGAUCUGUGUGGGCUCCAAUCCCUGUUUCUCCUCCUCAGGCUCAUGCGUGAAGUCAACAAAAUACACUAAAGAGCAAAGGGCCGCAUGCCUAUGAUCUUAGAGCCAGUCUGAAGGUGUGAAAUGGUGUGUGUGUGUGUGUGGCGGGUUGUCAUGUGAAACUGGGCUUUCAAAGUGGCGUUGAGAUGCUAGUUUUGAAUGACUCAAAUGGUUUACACAGAUAGGAGCCUAGCAAAAGAUAUGUGUUUUCCCAGGUCCUACCUACCCUAGAGGUGGCUGUCAUCCGUGAUAUUUAGUCAUUUUGCUGUGUCGAUGCUUCUUGUAUUAAUUGAUUUUUUUAGUUGUCUUAAAAUCUCUUUAAAAAGACCUACACCAAGGGAGAGUUCCCAAAUUCCCUUUAUUACCCCUUCCUCACCAUAUUUCACAAUACUUAGAUUCUUAAAAUUUGGUCCAGAUCUGACUUCCAAGUAGUUCUUUAGCUGAAACAAUCUCCUUUUGUCCUGGCCCCAGUGGACAGUGUUCAGCCCCACCCAACCCUUAGGCUCCUCAAAAAAAAGACUACACAAGGCCCAAGAUUUUCAGUUGAACAAAGAUGUGAUAAAACCUGCCAGAGAACAUAUGGCUGUCCGUGGAGGUUUGGGAUUGUCAGCUUUUACUUGUUUUUGUACAGCUUGUACUUCUACCACGAAGCAGGGCAUUCUGGGUUGUUAGCAAAGGCUGUGGCCAAAAGGACCCCACAGAACAGGCAUCCUUUGUGCUUGGCACCUGCUCUUUUUCUCUUUAUGGCCUGCUUGCUCAACUCCUGACCCAGAGCUUUGUUCUAACACAAACUAUGGCCUGUGCUCCCAGUGAAGCUGGGCUGAGGGCUUGGAAUGGAACAGCCAUCGAGGGCCCUACAUUCAGGGAGUGAUUGUCCCCUGGUAGACAGAAGUAAAUGGAACAUCCCUCAUCCCGGGAGGUCAAUGCUGUGAACCACAUUUCCUUCCCAGCAGCAUCUGCCUAGGGGCCCUCUCUGAGCCUCUUUGUCUCUCUCUUCUCAGUGGGGCUGUCAAAGCUGAGCCUCACAGGUUGUGACUAAUCACUAGCAGAUUUUUUUUCCAUCCAAGAAGAAGCACAAGCUGAAGGAGAUGAAGAAAAACCCCAACAGUGAAUAACUCGGAAGACUUUCCAACAUGUGGGUGUUUUUCUGGGACCAAAGAUCAGGAAGAUUCCAAAUGUAAACAAUCCCAAAAUAACCCAGUUCUCUCAACCCCAGGCAUUCCCAGGACUGGAUGUCCACACUCCCUCCCCUUCCCCUCCGGGAACAGGGGUCAGGGAAAGGUGGCACUGUGAAGAUUCACUGGAGUGGGACCUUCAGGCAAAGUGUAGCUCUGUGAGACUGGGGCUGUGUCUUCAUCAGGUAACGGUAAUGGCCUUUCUUUUUAAGAGAGGGACUUCUUCCUGCCUCAUCAAACAAGAUGUCCCUGGGAGUAGAGGCCAUGGCUGUGGUUCUCUUUGCUCAGAGUUGUAUCCCAUUGUGUUUAAACCAAAGCUCCUGAGAUUUCCUGCCAACAUAGUGUAAUGGAAAGAAUAUGGACUUUGAAGUCACACAGAGCUGGAAUCUUGGCUCUACAACUUAUUAAUCGUGUGGCCUUGAAUAUGUUAUUUAGCAUCUGGGAAUCUCAGUUUCCUCCUUUAGAACUGGGGCAAUGAUUUUUACCCAAAAAGAUAGUUUAUCCAAAGUGCCUGGUAGGAUGUGCCAGGAAGUGUUCCAUGCUUGUCUCUUAGCACCUCUCUCUCUCCAUAUAUAUUGCUUGAGCUGGAAAACCAGUUGAUUCUUUUCCAGCCUUCUCUUUCCCAAAAGAAUGCUGUGUAUGUUCAAAGGUAGGAAUCAUUCCUCCUUCCUGUUUUCAAAAAACACUAAGGUAGUUGUGUUGGAACUUAGGGUGUUGGGCAACAAAGGAACUUGCUCGCCUCUGUGGUAAGCAGCCGUGGCUCAAGUGAGCUGCGGGUGACUCAAGGAGAGAACCAGCCAGUGUCUUCUGAAAUCCACGCCAUGUUGGAACUUAGGGCACUGGGCAACAAAGGAACCCACUCGCCUCCCUGGUAAGCAGCUGUGAGCCUACUGGUGCACGGGCUGAGAAUCAAACAUCCCAUCCUCCUCCCGCCCCCAUUAGCAACUGGCAGCCAGAGGUCUGAGCAUCUCUUGGGAGGAUGACCUUAUGCAAUAUAGCAAAUAUGGGGGAUUUCCUUUUACCAUCUCUUUGAAGGCAAAUAUUGUCAUCACUGUUUUGCUUUGUUCUGAUUAAUUGUAUUGCUCUCUUCAAUACUCUGUUUUGACAGAUUUUAUGAUUGGGUCUCACUCUGCUUCCCAGGCUGGACUUGGACUUCUGAGUUCAAGUGAUCCUCUUCGUCUCCACCUCCCAAGGCUGGGAAUGCAGGUCCAAACCCAAGUCUUGGAUGUGUCCACAUUCACCAGAAAGCCGCAAAAGGGAACUCAAGAAACACGGGAACAUCUUACAUUUGCUCUAUUGCUUAGGCCUUUCCAGGAUCAUGUGGCCACCACAUGGAAGAAAGAAGAGUGGAUGGAGUGGCAGGGAGAGGAUCAAGCCAAAAAGAAAGCUUCUCCCUGGGAGAGUAGCCUCAUCCCCAUACUGCGUCCA